UCCAAAAAGAAGAGAAAACUU
rnacentral:piRNA from 1 species